CUUGCCAAUACAGUAUCAGUUCAGUUCAGUCGCUCAGUCAUGUCUGACUCUUUGCGACCCCAUGAAAUGCAGCAUGCCAGGCCUCCUUGUCCAUCACCAACAUAGGUAUAUCAUAAAGUAGAGUUGUUUAUAUAUUUAUUCUGCAAUAGUUUAUUGAGGUCCAUUGUAGGUUCUGGGGAUAAUAUGAAACAUCUGAAUGGCUUAUUCUAGCCCUGUGAGCUGAUAUCCAGAACUAACUUGUUAGCCCCACCCUUGGGGUGGAGAUGAGCCCAAGAACUCUUAGGAGUGAAGCAUUUCCCGCUCUCUUGCUGUUCCUCCUAAAUGUUUCCUCUGUAGCUGCAUAAGCUGGCAGGCAGCCUGAGAUGGAACCCUCCUCAGAAGACCCCCACCUCUACUGGACCACCCGGCUCCUGGGACUCACUAGCCUGCUCCUCAGCAUCUGUAGCACAGUGGCCAGUAAUUCUGUAUCACAUGGUUCUAAAGCUCAGGAUCCUGGAUUUGUUCCUAUGUAUGGGGCCCAAGGAGGUUCUGUGUUGUUUCAUGUGAUCAAGAAGCAAGAAGCUGACCCAGAGGAGAUCUCAUGGGGCUUUGGUCCUCAGUCAAACUACAGAGUCCUGCUGCGAGUCCACCGUGGGGCAGACACCCCAACCUGGGUCAGCCUCCAGGACAAGUACCAGCAGAGGGUCCAUGUGCCCAAUGUGACAUCCUUGAAGAUUGAGAACCUGACCCGAGAGGACAGUGGGCAGUACCGGGCUCGAGCCAGGUUCACUGGAGGAAGAGAACUUACCCAGGUUUUCCACCUCACUGUCUAUGAGCCCAUGAUCCUUCCUGAGAUCCUGGUCAAGUCAUCAUCCGUCACACCGAGCUGGUGCAAUGUCACCCUGGAGUGCAAGUCCCCAGAAAAGAGAGAAGACCUGAAGGUAACCUGGGAGAGCAAGGGCCUUCCCAGUGAGCUGGCAUGGAGUGAGACACCAGAACUAGCCCCCAACACCUGGCAACUGACUAUGAACUUGUCUCUGAAUAAGCCCAAUGCCAUCCUCACCUGUGUGGUCAGCAACAAUGUGGACAAGAAAACUGCCUCUGUAGACUUUGUGCAAGUCUGUUCCCAUGGUUCACACAGACAGACGAUUGCUGACUCCCUUGGAGGCAUCCUGUGGACCAUCGUGGUUGUGCUAUUUUUCCUGGGAACUUGACUGUGCUUUUGGAAAAUGUAUAAGAGGGAAAGGAACAUGGAUACCAGAAGAGGCCCAGGUGUCAGUGGCACAGUCUGUCUAACAUAGAGUUCAUCAGCUCCAACCAAGGAACGUGUCAGUAAGCAAGCCUGCCCUAACUUCCAUGAGGCACCACAGUCUUCCUGCCAUCAUUGACUAACCAUGACAAUUUGGCUGUGGUUUUGAAAUAAUGGGUUGAGUUCUUCCUCAUUCAGUAUAUAUAUUUUUCCUGAUAUAAAAAGAAAUGGGAUCUGACUGUGUUUUAAAUGGUUUGUGUUAUUUGGGGCAAAGGAUUAGGAGCAAACACUCAAACAUUUUUUCUUAAGUGAAAUUACUGAAAAGCUUAUACAGAACAACUUGACAAAUGAAACGCUGUUCACGUCCAAAUACCUGACCUUGUCCCUGGAAAAGAAACGCAGCCUGGCAGCUAUUGAAUCUCUCUGUUCAGUGUGUCAAGGAAGAUGAUUAUACUUUCAAGACAGACCUGAAAAGAAGAUGAAUAUUUUGCACUUUUGAUACUUUUAGGAACAAAUAACUUAUUUGGCAAAUGGUGUUUUUUUUUUUAUUUUUUUAUGUUGUUUUUGUUUUGUAUUGUGAAAUAGGCACUGAAGCUGAUGUUAUUUUGUUUUAAGAAUCUGACAGACUGGAAACAGAAAUAAAGCUAUAUUAACAAUAGUUAUAGGCUUAAAG
ensembl:lncRNA